rnacentral:rRNA from 1 species
UGCAGUCGAACGAUGAAGCCGGGUGCUUGCACCGGGUGGAUUAGUGGCGAACGGGUGAGUAUCACGUGAGUAACCUGCCCUUGACUCUGGGAUAAGCCUGGGAAACUGGGUCUAAUACCGGAUAUGACCAGUCCUCGCAUGGGGUGCUGGUGGAAAGAUUUAUCGGUCUUGGAUGGACUCGCGGCCUAUCAGUUUGUUGGUGAGGUAAUGGCUCACCAAGGCGAUGACGGGUAGCCGGCCUGAGAGGGUGACCGGCCACACUGGGACUGAGACACGGCCCAGACUCCUACGGGAGGCAGCAGUGGGGAAUAUUGCACAAUGGGCGCAAGCCUGAUGCAGCGACGCCGCGUGCGGGAUGACGGCCUUCGGGUUGUAAACCGCUUUCAGCAGGGAAGAAGCUUUUUGUGACGGUACCUGCAGAAGAAGCGCCGGCUAACUACGUGCCAGCAGCCGCGGUAAUACGUAGGGCGCGAGCGUUAUCCGGAAUUAUUGGGCGUAAAGGGCUCGCAGGCGGUUUGCCACGUCUGCUGUGAAAGCCCGGGGCUUAACUCCGGGUGUGCAGUGGGUACGGGUAGACUAGAGUGCAGUAGGGGAGACUGGAAUUCCUGGUGUAGCGGUGAAAUGCGCAGAUAUCAGGAAGAACACCGAUGGCGAAGGCAGGUCUCUGGGCUGUUACUGACGCUGAGGAGCGAAAGCAUGGGGAGCGAACAGGAUUAGAUACCCUGGUAGUCCAUGCCGUAAACGUUGGGCACUAGGUGUGGGGGACAUUCCACGUUUUCCGCGCCGUAGCUAACGCAUUAAGUGCCCCGCCUGGGGAGUACGGCCGCAAGGCUAAAACUCAAAGGAAUUGACGGGGGCCCGCACAAGCGGCGGAGCAUGCGGAUUAAUUCGAUGCACGCGAGACCUUACCACGCUUGACAUGGACCG